rnacentral:rRNA from 1 species
UACGUAGGGUCCGAGCGUUGUCCGGAAUUAUUGGGCGUAAAGGGCUCGUAGGCGGUCUGUUGCGUCGGGAGUGAAAACUUACAGCUUAACUGUGAGCGUGCUUUCGAUACGGGCAGACUUGAGGCAUUCAGGGGAGAACGGAAUUCCUGGUGUAGCGGUGAAAUGCGCAGAUAUCAGGAGGAACACCGGUGGCGAAGGCGGUUCUCUGG